rnacentral:rRNA from 1 species
AUGACUGCCUUGGCCAAGCCCGCCGCCUCAGCGCCGAAGCCCUCCGCCGCCAAGCCGAAGGCGGCCGCCGCUGGUGCCUCCCACCCGACCUACUUCGAGAUGAUCAAGGAGGCGAUCGCGGCGCUCAAGGACAGGACGGGGUCGAGCUCGGUCGCCAUCGCCAAGUACAUCGAGGAGAAGCACGGCAAGGCCCUCCCGGCCAACUUCAAGAAGAUGCUCUCCGUCCAGCUCCGCGCCUCCGCUGCCAAGGGCAAGCUCGUCAAGGUCAAGGCCUCCUACAAGCUCUCCGACGCCGCCAAGAAGGACGCGCCCAAGGCCAAGGCCACGGCCAAGCCCGCCAAGGACGCCGCCAAGGCCAAGAAGACGGUGGCCGCGAAGCCCAAGAAGACCGCCGCCGCUGGCACCAAGCGCAAGGCACCCGAGCAGAAGAAGCUGGUCGCCAAGGCCAAGAAGUCGCCUGCGGCCAAGGCCAAGGCGAAGCCGAAGACCGUCCGCUCCCCGGCCGUCAAGAAGGCCCGCAAGGUCGCCGCGGCUUGA